AAGCGAAAGUGACGGUACCUGCAGAAAAAGCGCCGGCUAAAUACGGGCCAGCAGCCGCGGUAAUACGUAGGGCGCAAGCGUCAUCCGGAAUUAUUGGGCGUAAAGAGCUCGUAGGCGGUUUGUCGCGUCUGCUGUGAAAUCCCGAGGCUCAACCUCGGGCCUGCAGUGGGUACGGGCAGACUAGAGUGCGGUAGGGGAGAUUGGAAUUCCUGGUGUAGCGGUGGAAUGCGCAGAUAUCAGGAGGAACACCGAUGGCGAAGGCAGAUCUCUGGGCCGUAACUGACGCUGAGGAGCGAAAGGGUGGGGAGCAAACAGGCUUAGAUACCCUGGUAGUCCACCCCGUAAACGUUGGGAACUAGUUGUGGGGACCAUUCCACGGUUUCCGUGACGCAGCUAACGCAUUAAGUUCCCCGCCUGGGGAGUACGGCCGCAAGGCUAAAACUCAAAGGAAUUGACGGGGACCCGCACAAGCGGCGGAGCAUGCGGAUUAAUUCGAUGCAACGCGAAGAACCUUACCAAGGCUUGACAUAUACGAGAACGGGCCAGAAAUGGUCAACUCUUUGGACACUCGUAAACAGGUGGUGCAUGGUUGUCGUCAGCUCGUGUCGUGAGAUGUUGGGUUAAGUCCCGCAACGAGCGCAACCCUCGUUCUAUGUUGCCAGCACGUAAUGGUGGGAACUCAUGGGAUACUGCCGGGGUCAACUCGGAGGAAGGUGGGGAUGACGUCAAAUCAUCAUGCCCCUUAUGUCUUGGGCUUCACGCAUGCUACAAUGGCCGGUACAAAGGGCUGCAAUACCGUAAGGUGGAGCGAAUCCCAAAAAGCCGGUCCCAGUUCGGAUUGAGGUCUGCAACUCGACCUCAUGAAGUCGGAGUCGCUAGUAAUCGCAGAUCAGCAACGCUGCGGUGAAUACGUUCCCGGGUCUUGUACACACCGCCCGUCAAGUCAUGAAAGUCGGUAACACCUGAAGCCGGUGGCCCCAAACCCCUUGUGA
rnacentral:rRNA from 1 species